GCACACACGGGACGACACUCCCUGUGGACGCGGCUCCUGUCACUCCCCACGUGGUCCUUAGCCGUGGCCCUCUGUCCAAGUCCCUCAACCAUGAGUGCGCGUAUGGAAGUCAGAAUCGCACGGCCAGUUGGGAAAACACUGACAGGCUGGGUUGUGUGUGUAAAAGCGAGAGGUAGGCAAGGGAUGAACACGUUCCAAAGUAUAGAGAAGGACUCGUUUGACAGAAAGGCUGCAUACGGAGAAAUAGAGGUGACUUUGCUGCUUACAGUAAAAUUCUAACCAGCUUAGUCUUCACUUAAAGACCAUAAAUGAAGUUAGCUCUUCGUUAGAUGCCUCGGCAGCUCACCUCUUUUUCUUUUCUUUUCAACUUCCUCUCCGUGGUACAUCACUUUCUUCAUGCCACAUUCCCAGCCUGGGGCAGAGUAGAUGUUCAGAAUCAGUUAAUCGCAGACUGGUAGUAUUUCUCCACCCGAACCAGAGCGAUCGCGCUUCUGCCUGCCAGUACCAAGAAAGCAGAAAGAAACUCCAUGUGUCGCUACAGCACCAAAGACAGCGCGAUCCUCUGGUUGAGCAAUACACGUUGAACAACUUCCAAUUUCAGUCUGAUUUACUCCCGUAUUUAGAAAAGGAGGGGGAGUCACCCUCACCGUUCUUCUUAGUCUUUCGGAGGUCGGAGGUCGAGGCUGGGCUGAGAUCAAACGCCUGUCAUGUGGUCGAGGGCCGAUGCCUGACCUGUGACCCCUGAGGGCUGAAGUCCUCCCUCCCUGACCUGCCCUCCAGCCCCUCCCCUCACUCACCGCCCAACGCACCUGCACCAUUUCCACAGCCGCCACUCGGCGCUGCAGCCCCUGACCCAGCCUCCUGCAAUAUUCUCCCCUACUCGCUGCAGCGGGUGGGCGCUCCGCUCUCCCCGAACCCCCGCCCUGGCCCUGCUCACCUGCAGCACUCUGCAUCGGAAGACGAAAUCUGAAGUGGGACACUGAGUUCCUGGGAGGGGCUAAGGGUGUCCUGCACGGCCCGUGUGUAAGCCAGCACAUUCUCUAGUAAACACGUGUGAGAGAAAACCCUCAUCCCCCAAAUCCAGUCCAUCACCGGGUCCCAUCCAGCUUGUCUUCAAAAAGAUGCCCCAAAAGUGAUGGCUGCUCACCACCUCUCUCUCUACUCCCAGUGCCGGCGCUGUUGUCACUUCCUGCCUCCUGAGGGUCCCCUCCACUCCUCUGCAGCCGUGUGGCUCUGCAGAUCCCUUCUCCACCCAGUGGUUGCCUUCACACUUAGAACACAGCUCAGCCUCCUCACUGAAGCAUGUGUGAUCCCACCAGACCCCUUCAGCUCCCCGACCUCACCACGCCGUGUCUCACAGGAUCUCCACCUACAGGUUCAGGGCCCGGCAGCCACAUGACCUGCUUCUCUCCUCUGCUCAUGCCCCGCCUCAUGCCACCUUCCCGGACCUUUAUCUGAAGCAGCAUCCCACACUUCAGCUCCUGGACUUUAUUCUUCCUUGUUGCACUGAUUCCUGUCUGACUUUUACUAGUCCCUGUUCAAUGCUAAUUUUCUAUCUCUCCCACUGUGAUGGGAGGGCCCAUGAAGAGAGAAACGGUGCUUGCUUCACCGGUGUAUGUUCAGUGUGUUGUCCCGUUUGAAACAAAUGGUAGAUGCUCAUUUUGUUCAGCUAAAAAUAUAUCUAUGAAUGGAGCAGCUGGGUGCUGGCUCCCAACAAAUAGAGAGAGACAAGUCACACACACAAGAAGAAAAGCUUUUAAAAGCUAAAGCUGGUGUUCCCAGCUCUAUGCACAAGCUAUUCUAAGGAUAUCCCUGCUGACAAUGAUAACAAGAUUGGACAACUGCAGGCACAAAGGUUCUGCUUCCAAUCAUUUUGAAACAGCCGGAAAUGUUGAAAGAGGGCCUGCCUUGUGUCCCCAAGGACACAUCCAUGGCCCAUGGUGGGGGUCACCCCUGCACAUCACUUGAGGGGUGCUACCCUAGAAGUGAGUUAGUCUCCUGCCUGCACCCAGCCCAUGAAUGGGUUCCCAAGGGGAGCACGGGCCUCUGGUAAGCCCAGUAGGCCCAGGCUGAGCUGGGGUCGGGAGCGUCCGGAUGUGGGGCUUGGCCACUCCCAUGUUCUCCCUGAGUAGACACCUGUGACAGAUCCGCCUGCCCCUCAUUUCAGCUCCACCACUUCAGACAGGGCUGGAUCUCUGUGAUGAAGAACACGAUUCCCAAACAGCUCUGAGAUUACAGGUGCCUUCGAAAGAUUACAGAAAACCUCUUUAGUUCAAAUUAUUCCAACUCUGAACUCGGAAUUUGUCAUCAGAUCCAUUGAGCUGAGGUUCCUCCUGGUCCAGCACUAAGGGACAGGGACAGAAGUCACGAGGCAAAGUGUAGGGGUGGAAACAUUAUUUGCAAAGGUGUAGCCCAGGGGCCGGGGAUUUAGCUCAGUGGUUCCAGCACCGGCCUGGCAAGCGCAAGGUCCCGAGUUUGAUCCCCGGUACCAAAAAACAAGUGUAGCCCAUUUAAAAAGACUUCUUCAGUCAGGCUUAAAAAUACUUUAUCAGCACAUUAAUUUUUUUUCCUUUUUUGUAAUCGAAGUAUAAUUUACAGUCAAAUUCACCCUUUUGAUGUGCAAGUCUGAGUUUCACAUAAAAGCAUAGAGAGUUGCAUCGUCACUGCCACCGCCCCAGUACAGAAUGGCCCGAGUCUCCUGAUGAUCUCAGUUCACCACUGUAGUCAAGCCCCGCCCCCAAACCACUGGUCAGUUUUCUGUCCCUUACUGUGCCUACUUUCGAAUGCCAUCAAGAUGGAGCCUUUCACAUGGACCUCCUUUCACUUGGCAUAAGGGACUGGGAACCGGCAGGGCUCCCAGGGACCCAGCAACAUCAGGGCGAGGUUGCCUGCUGCCCCUGCUAGGUGUCUGUUCAGCAAAACCACACUGUGCUUCCUGUCCCUUUGCUGAAGUCAAUCCCUAGGCUGCUGACACUUAGAAAACAACUGCUACACAAUCCCUCCCUGUCCUUCUUUCUCUACCAUGGGAGUGGAGGUUUUUGUCCUCUAACAGGGGUUUUGAGAGACAGCAUUUCUUCACGCAGUGGUUUUCAAACUCCUGUCAGAGCCUCAGGCCUCCCGAAGGAGCCAAGAGCCAGGGUGAGCGGCUGAGAGAAGGAAUCGACUCCACCUAACAUCGCAGUGUCAUCUCUACCUGUCUUACGUACUGGCUCCUCAGUGAAGAGUCUAUCUGAAAAGGAGAAUGUGUUGAUUUUCCAAACAGCGAGCUGAGCCACAAUCCCAUCCUUAAAUACCCGAGGGUCGAAGGCCUCAGCACCCUUCGCACGUUACAGCGUGCUCGGGAUAGGUGAGCCAGCACACGGCCCGUCCUCCAGUGCGUAUCUUACUCAUUUGAACUGAUCCCCAGUUAACUCCCAUCCCCAGACCAGUCUGAAGGACAGAUUUCACCCCGGAGAAACCAGAGCCCAGUCUCCUGCCCUGACACCCGAGGGUGGUAAAGCUUGCCUCAGCCUCAGGGAGGGGCCUGGGGUGUGAGACCUGAGGGGACCCCACGUGGACGCCAGCGCACCAUCUGUGCAUGAUCCUUCUUCCCUGGGUGUGCGCCGUGCGGAAGCGUUGGUGAGCACUAGAAUCCAGUCUGCAGUGAUCUAAGCAGUUGUCCACAUUCUCACCAGCUCAGGAGUCCGAGAAAGUUACUCGAUUCAUCUACGCCUCAGCUCCCUAAUCUGUGAAAGGAGGACCACAGCACCAGAAUUCUCGGAACCACUGUGGGGUUAGAGGCAGUGUGGGGUGUUUUUUGGUACCGGGGAUUGAACUCAGGACCCUGGGCUUGCAAGGCAGUCUCGGUGCCGCUGAGCUAAAUCCCCGGCCCUAGAGGCAGUGUGUGUGGCACCCACAGCACACCAUACCCCACCACUCCCGGCCCCAUGUGGAUCUGCCCCCAGCCACGGAGGAGCUAAAGCUUGCCCCAGAUGUACGGCAGGACCUAGAUUAUAUAUCCACAGCCAGCAUAAAUGUGAAACUUCAGUAAGCAAACACAGCCACCAUUCUAAAAGAUAUUAAUUGUAUAACACCGAGUUCACACCUCUCUGGUAAUAAAGGUGAAAGAAAUCCAUGUCUGGAGAUCAUUAGCAGUAACUCCAGACUGGAAACAAUGCUUCAGAAAGAGCCGACGCAGUAAAAUCAUUUGUUCUGAAAUGUUUUAAAUGCAUGCUUUUCACUUUUUUUUUACUACAAAAAGCAGUCACCUUGGUGACGGUUGAACAGAUCCAAAUGAGCCAUUAUGGUCUGAACACGAUCCUUAGCUUUUACUUUUCAAUACCAAAUGACUCCACAUUCGUGUCCUCUGAUCUACCCUAAUCAUUUGGUGUUUUCCUAUCACGUUCCAAAAUAGAAGGAAAUAGAUUCCAAUAUAACCACAUCAAUACUCUGUAACCCCAGCCAGCUAUAAGUCUCAAUAGGAAAGGUUUAUAGUGUGGUUGAACACCAAAUCCGUGGCUCUCUCUACAGAAUAGUUUUUGUCAUUUAGCAGUAAAAGUAUGUGUGUCUCAAACUGACAUGGUGUUUGUAAUAACCAAUAGGAGUAUUUUCAUUUUAAUCCUUGUUCAGGGAGUAGCCUGGAGAGGGUUACUUUUGAAAUAUAGCAUAAAUUAUCCCUGCGCAUUCUUUGAUUCCACCUAUUUCCAGCAUUUUCAUGAAUCAGUGUUCUAAUCAUAGACUUCACCUGCGUCUAAGGGUCCAACACAUGUCGCAUUUCUGAGUCACCACUGGGAAAGACAGAGUGGCUUCUGACGACACUUUCAGUGGAAGUGUCUGUGACGUCACCAGGGAAGAGAUGAGCCCCAUUCCUCAGUCCUAAUAGCAGGCAGCAAAGGUAUCUAGGGACACCGAGUCCGCUGAGCUUGGGCAGCACUGCCCAGGAUGGAGAGCCACUCACGGGCCCUGCUCCUAACUGCAGCUGUGUAGCCUUGUACCUGUUGCUUGAAUUAUCCUCCGUGCCUCAGUUUCCCUGUCUGUAAAAUGGCUGAGUUCACAUACGUUGAUGGAGUUAACACAAUGCAGGGAUUUGGAAAAGUGGGACCUGCUAAGUACCUAGUGCCAAUGGCAAUAAAUCUACUUUUAUUCUCCUGAACAUUCUAGUCCAAAAGGCCAGCCCUGGGUCUGAGCCCUGUGCUAAGCAGCAGCAAAGUAGGAAUCCUAAAUCCAGAACCCCUGGGGAGGUUGGUGAAGGAGGAAGAUGACAGGACCUCUUUUCUCUGUCCCAACCUCUGGUCCCUCCUCUACCGUGCAAACGUUUUGCUGGUGAUAAGCACCAUCUGAAAAACUAAUAAUAUAGAUGCUUAUUUACUGCAGUGAGCAAUGUGUCCUAGCAGGUCAGCUCUCUGGACUCUGUCACUCAAGAUGUAUUUCAUAAAAUAAUCAAGCUUUCAAAAUACAGUUCUUUGUAUAUGAAUUUUUUGAUCUCAGCAUAUGAAGUAAAAGGAGUAUAUUUUAUUUUUCAUCACUGCUGGGUUCCUACAAGGUUAUUUAAGAAAUCAUGUAUCUUCUAACCCUAAAAUAAUUGUGUGUGGUCUGUGAACAUGUGCUCUAAGUAUGUGCUUAGGUGUUAAUCACCCCAGGUUCCAGGAGAGAAGCAAACUUGGUAGAAACAACAACAGGAAAGGGAAGAACUCUGAGCCUAGCAGGAGAGCGAAUGGCUUCUCCCACAAUGGUGAGCAAGGUGCCCAGAGUCUGUCACCUGUGGGCCCUCGGAACACACCUGGACACAGUAAGCAAGCUCUCUCCAGGGACAAGGCCCCUGCAAGCAGAGCCAUUACAUCCUCGCCUUGAGGGACUGACAAAGGAAAGAGCACGUGGAAAUCCAACCACUCUGCACCCACCGUGGGAACUAGAGCUCUGGCCACCCCGCCCAUCCCUCGGGCGCGUGGGGGCUGAGCACUCCUCCCCGGAGCUCGCUUCCUCCAUGUCACCUCCCAGACUGGGCUCUUUUCCCUCCCUCUCCAUUAAAUGCACAUUACUGUCUCACGCCGUCCCUCUCUCAAAGCUGAUAAAAGUCACAUUCCCAAACGUGCUUUUGACAGAUCCUACUUUAAAGGAAAAUCACUUGCCCUGAAGUGUUUCCUCAAGUAGGCAUUUGGUUGCAGGUCUUCCCAGUCUAUUUGCAGAAUAGUUUUAUUCACUCAUCAAAUAUCCAUCAGCACUCUCUUCGGUCAGGCCCUGUGCCAGGCACAGGCACAGACACAGCUGAUAAACAAGGCCGGUGGGCUCAUGGCCCUCCCGAAGCCUCCAGCCCUCACUGCAGACUGAGGGUCACACAAGAAGCACAUGCAUGAUUACGAAGUUUCAGUGCCAGGAGGAAACCAAGACAGGAUGCUGUGGAGGAGGCCGAGAAUCCCUGUAGAUCGGGGUCACCUGGGGUGGCAUUAGGAGUCCCAGCUGAGGCAGAAGAGCCCAUGUGUGUGUGUGGCCAGGAGCCCAGGGGGCACAGGGACAGCAGUGAGCCAGGUGCCUUCAGGACCCAGACAGCAGGCACCAGCUCCAGUAGGCGUGGGCAGGCUGUGCUAAUGACUCCAGGUGUUAAUCUAAGAGCAGUGGGAAUCCACUCGAGUCUGAGGGAGGAACAGCAAGGUUUAAUUUUAUCUCAAAAAGAUCGUUGUGGGCCCUGCCCGGAGAAUUGCUGGAGGGGGUGAGCAUGGAAGGAGAGGGAAGAGUGGGUUCUGCAGGGAGAGAGGCCACUGGGUAGGCCAGGCCUCAGGGGCUUUACCAGUGAGCUGUCCGGGGCUUUGAGGCUCACACUGCACUCUACUUCUCUUUUCUAAACAGCACGAAACUCACCUUUGAAAUGUUUGUCGUCAGCAGUCUCCCCAAGGGUGUAGAAAGAGGUCCACCCGGUGGCCUAUGUUUGACUGUGACUGGCCCGAGCAUCCCACACCAGUUGCCUCCUCCUACAGGCUGCCCUGUAUCUUGAACCACUGUAGUGAAAGUGAAGGUGAAGAUAGCCAGGCGCAGUGGUGCAGACCCCCAAUCCCAGAACUCUGGGAGGCUGAGGCAGAGGAUCACGAAUUCAAACCCUGGGCAGCUUAGUGACUUAGUGAGACCCUGUCUCAAAAGUAAAAUAAGAAAGGCCUAGGGAUGUAGCUCAGUGCAAAGGCCCUGGGUUCAAUUCCCAGUACAGAAAAAAAGAAAGGUGCAGAUGAGUUCGCAGCAUGCGCAUGUAUUUGGAGAUAAGACUCGGAAGACUGCAGGUGCACAGGGCUCUUGAGGUGAGGGGGAGCGAGGAACCAAGAUGAGUCCAAGCCGUCCUCAGGGAGGAAAGGUUUCCAUGUGGGCCCGUCCUGCAAGUGCAGCGAGCUGCCAAGGAGAGAGGUCACGGGCAGUUGGGGACACCACACAGAGCCAGCGGCGAGGACUGUCGCUGCAGGAGAACAACAGGGACAGACGGAGACACCCAGGAGGGGCUGUGGGGAAGGAAAGUCCCUGAGGCCGAGCCCUAAAGGGUCAGGGCAGCCAUGGAACCUGCAGGGUAAGUGGGGAAGGGACUGCAGGGAGGCAAGCAAAGAGCAGGAGAAGGACCAUCGCCAAAGCCAACCGCCCAGCCGUUUCUGGAAGCCCUGGCUCCCAGGAAAAGGUGGAGGAUAAAGUACUGAGAUGAAUACAGAGAUGCUUCCGCUGGAUCUGACAGCAGAAAGGUCAUGGACCUUGGGGGAAGUGUUUGGGCCUGGGGCUGGGAGGGGAAGCUGAGGAGGCCAGGCUGAAUGGGGAGGAUUUUUCCUUUCGGUUUCUGGGGGCACUGGCCCGAGGGACUGCGGAAACCCCAGCAGGCCAGGGGUGGCCGACCGCCUCUUUGUAGGAUAGGCCCUGCUGGUUCUCAUUUUCAGUUGAGCAUCUCAGACAGGAGAGAUGCUCCGGAGCACAUCUUCCUCAGGCUCCUCUUCCCAAGGUUCACAGAGAAAGAGAAGAAAAGAAGGAGAGGGGAGGAAAGGAAGGGAAAACAAAAUGGACCCGUGGUCUGAAGGGGUCAGAACUGCAUUUGAUUCAUUCUCCUGUCUACUGUGUGUGUGGCAGGGUUCCGUGGGCACUAGACUGUGAAGUGCUAGGGAAGGCCUCUGUCCACAGUGGAGGCCACCCUGGGGCAGGGCGGUCAGGUGCAGCCUGCCAAGGAAGUCGGGGUGACCGCAGGCUGACGUCUGUGGUCACGGUGGUCCAGCACUGCGCUAGGCAGCUCCUUUGCACAAAACUGAGAACGAUUCAGCAUGCAGCAAGGUGUGUCUUUUCGGUCACUUUGCUUCAGGAUGCACCUGACUUUAAUUUCUGAUUGAUAUUCUGCCAGGGGGUGGCUUAGAACAUUGGCGCUUUUAGUUUCUCCCACUGUUGAGUAUUUAAUGAUCUGAAAACAAACUCUGGAGAAAUCUUCAUAUAAUAAGACGGAGCCCUUUGUACUUCUGAGUCAAUUCCCCUUUUAGUUCGUCAUAUAGAGAAUCUCUCGGGGUAGCGAGAGUAGAAGGAAAGAGGAGAGAGAGGCCCCUUCCGGCCAGUUCGUCACAUGAGAGUCUGGUCUCCCGCACCCCGCCAGGACUCUCCAGGGCCUCAUGGGACGUGUGUGGGUAGGGUGAUCGGGAAUCCUGCGAGGUGUUCUGUCCAGUGGUGGGGUCCAGCUCCCAUGGCCAGCAGUGCCCCUGAGCAUGCCCGUGUCACGUGCUCUCGUCCUGUCAUUCUGCAAGGUGACAGCUUGGGACGAUUUUUUCAGUAAGCAGAGACAGAAAAGAAACCCCAAACUUUACUCCUGACGAGGCCAUUAUAUAAUCUUGGUCAAGGCACUUGACCUCUCUCCACUUCAGUUCCUCCUCCGGGAAAUGGUGUGGAUAAUGUCAGCCCUCUCCCUGGGUCUCAGAAGUAAUUUACGUCCGGCUAAUUGACUCCUCCCUGUGUAAUGUAAAGGUGGGGAAAGAGCUAUUAAAAUGUGAAAGAUCAUCACCGUGGUCCGAGCCAGCACACGAGCUACCCUAUGGCCAGGCCUUCGUGAGCCCACUUCUAACUCUUUAAGGCGAGGUCUGCCUAGAGGGUGGAGGUGCCACAGUGUCCCUCAGCUGGGAGUUUGCUUCCGAACUCCGCCGCAGCCGCGGUAGGGCGUAUUCCAUUCCCAUCUGCACUGAACACAGGCGCCUCGGUUUCAGAGGAUUCCUUGAGGUAACCAAGGCGACCGAGAGACCAGAGAGCACCCCCAGGAGUCGUGGCGUCUGGGUGCCAACCCGUGUGCUGACUUAGAGCCUCAGCACCUGCGCCGGGCAACGUGGCAGCUGCCACGGGAGCCGGGCCAUGAGGAGGCCGGCCUGGGGCCCCGGAGGGAAGCGCGACUCUGCCCUGUGCGGACCUCACCCUGAGCUGCCGGCGCCAAAGUGCUCUUGCCUUAGAAAGUGCGCGUCCCAGUCCAUGGGAUUGCACAUUGCGCCUGAGCUUGGGGGGAAGCAAUGGAGCGCGGGGCCACGGGGCGCUUGGUCCAGAAUCACACUGCUGGCACUCGCGUCACAGAGCCAUCCUCAGAGUCUCCAUCUUCCGAUGCUUGUCUAGGAUUUUUUACUCACUGUGAAAAUGUCAUGGACAGCAGUCUAUGGGAAGAGAGAAGAAAGCACAGGGCCCCAGAUGCCCCGUUCAAAUUCACAUCGAAGGAGAGACUUCUUUACAGCUGAUUUGAUAGUCUACAGGCAGCCAUAGCAAGGGGAAGAAUCAGCCCACGGUCUCCUUCAGAGCUCUUCCUCUUACUUCAUAGUCAGUAUCAAAGUUACCAUACCAGAAUCCCUAACUUUAAAGCAAAACAGACCCUGGCCAUUAGGGCCUGGAAGCCCGGGGAUCCCCUGGUGUCUGGGGCACAGGUUAGGGAGCCUGGACCGGGGCUGAAUCUUGGCUCGUGAGGGGGGUCCCCACUCCAGAACUCAGAUAGCGACAUGUCUUUGUUCCCCUGUGUGACCGAUUCCUCGGGAGAAAUGAAUGACGUCCUAGAAUGGAAGGACAACGUGUGAGGGUUUCCGAAUGUCACAGACAUGUUCCUCACAAAUACAAGGGUUGGCUGUGUUGAACUGAAACUCAGGGUAGCUGGAAGGCUCGUGGCAGAAACUAACUCAUCUCGAUUCCUAACAUAUCUGUCCCCUACUUGGCUGCUGACCAGCAGUUGCUUAAAAAAAACUUUUCCCAUUUUUAUCAUUCUGCUUUAUAUACCUUUUUGAUGUUGUGAACUGUCUUAAACCUUUUUAGAAGCAGCCAAGAGUUGAAAUCCUAAAUAAAUGUUGAAACUGGGCUUCCUAAAAAGAAUCAUUUCUCUUAGUCUUGGGCCUUCUACGUUAGAAGUACAAAAAAGAAUUAAGGACAGUGAUUUUUUUUAAGGCAAGAUAACAAGGAUAGUUUGUUUUUAGAUGAGUUUAUCCAAAUUCUGAGGUCAUGUGCAGUAGCAGCUAAGACGGGCUUUGGGUGACACCUAGUGGUUGAGAAAGUCCCUCCCAGCGGUGUGGAGACCCCACCAGUGCUUCUCAAACCCCCUUCUUGCCGGUGGCGGGACCCGGACCGAGUUUGAGAACCACUGGUCCGAGCGCCCUGCCGUCCGUGAGCAGAGAGGGCUGUGGCCUCUGAGGACGCCCGGGACUUAGAUGGGGCUCCGGCUUUGCAGGGUCCUCCCGGUGAGGGGUUCGAGACAGCAGGGGACCCCAGCCCGGGGCGGAGAGGGAGG
rnacentral:lncRNA from 1 species